UGACAGGUAAGGUAGUGACACUCAUUUGUCCCAAAGCAUGUGAACGUAUCAGCCAACAGGCGUUGUUUUUAUCCGAGCGCCGACAUGGCGGCUGGUAGGGAGUCGCUGGAGUCUUGGCUAAACAAAGCUACUAGUCCUUCCAACCGAGAAGAAGACUGGGAGAAUAUCAUGGGAUUCUGUAACCAAAUAAACAAGGAGCUUGAGGGACCACAAAUAUCUGUUCGACUGUUGGUCCACAAGAUCCAUUCGCCACAGGAAUGGGAGGCACUACAAGCCUUGAUGGUUCUGGGGGCCUGUAUGAAGAAUUGCGGCCAAAGAUUUCAGAAUGAAGUUGGGAAAUUUCGUUUUUUAAAUGAGCUCAUUAAAGUGAUAUCACCCAAAUAUCUAGGAGACAAAGUUUCUGAGAAGGUGAGGUCAAAAGUGAUCAAGAUGAUUUACAGUUGGACCAUUUAUCUUCCUGAGGAAACCAAAAUCUUUGAGGCUUAUCAGAUGUUAAAGACUCAGGGGAUUGUAUUAGCUGACCCUGAGAUCCCUCUUGAUGCUGCAUUAGCCCCAUCUUCCUCUGAGAAGCCCAAGAAUCCAGUGUUUGAUGAUGAGCACAAAAGCAGAAAGUUAGCAGAGCUGCUCAAGAGUAAAAAGCCAACAGAUCUGCAGGAGGCUAAUCAACUCAUCAAGAACAUGGUCAAAGAGGAUGAACUGAGGACACAGAAAGCUUCAAAGCAGAGUAGCACAGUGGAGGCGGUGAACAACAGUGUCAAACUUCUUAAUGAGAUGCUUACUUACUUUAGUCCCGAAAGCUCGACUGAUGGUGACAAGGAUCUCAUUAGGGAGUUGUACAGUGAGUGUAACAAGCUGAGACAAACAGUGUGUCAGCUAGCUACAGAGACGGAUGAUAACGACACUUACUUGGGAGACAUCCUGCAAGCAAAUGAUGACCUCUCCAAUGUCAUUAAUUCAUAUAAGAAGAUAAUGGAAGGCCAGACCAUCAAUGGAGACUCUAAAACACUAUCAGCAGUCACACAAGACACUAGCUGCACAGCUCAGUCAGAGAGUCUGAUUGAUUUAACGGAUCUGGACAACCCAGAUUUUUCCCAACUACCUUUUGCAUCAUCUGUGUUUUCGCACGUUGAUCUUUUGUGUGGAUCCAGUGUGGCUGAACAAGAGGCCGACAAAGCCUCUGCAUCGUUUUCUCUGCUGGAUGAAGAGCUGCUGUCUUUAGGGCUCAAUGGACUUGUUACAAAUGAAUCAGAGCAACCUCGAAACAUGAGCAAUUAUCCACAACCAUUUCAGAUUUGCAGUCAGGAUGUGGACCAUUUUGACACCACUUCACCUGCAGGUUCUGCGUUCUUCACAAUUCCGCCCUCUUCAAGUUCCUCUGUCUUCGACUCAUUGUUCCCCAGUGCUCUGCUGCCAUCUGUCACACUCCAGCAGCCACCAGUCGGCCCAGUCUCAAGUUCAAGAGUGCCAAUGUCUCCUCCUCAAUCGCAAAGCACAGCGCUGUUGCCUCCAGCAACUGUCCAUGUUGCCACCUCACAGAUCUCCACUGCACCGCAACCUUCACAGUCUGAACCACCCUCUCUGGGUCACAGUCUACAAGACAUUGCCUUGCUUGAUUUCAGCAGUUGUAAAAGGGGACCCGAGGUGCACUUUGACAAUGCACCAGCCAAGCGUGAUGGUACGUGUUCUCCUGCCAACCACCUGUGCCAAGGUGGGUUGCCCAACUGCCCCCCAGAUAGAUGUCAAGCAGACAAUGUUCUGUUGCACUCCCUGAACCCCAUCAUCAUACAGAGCCAGAACAAUUUAGACACGGGAGAAGAGGCAUCCCUUGCUAAUGUCUUUGUACCAUUGGAGGCUGUCAGACCAAGUAAGCUGUGUCCUGUCACAGUGUACGACGAGAGUGGUGUUCACGUGCUGCUACAUUUUGCUCGUGACUGUCCGCCUGGCAGGCCGGAUGUUUUGGUGAUUGUUGCCUCCAUGCUGAAUACAUCUCCACUCCCUGUCAGUGACAUUGUGCUGCAGGCUGCAGUUCCGAAGGCCAUUCCAGACACCGCACUAGCAUUUCUCUCCAGCAGAAGCCCUUCUAGUCAGCAUGCAGAACGCACUUGAUCAUUUUGCCGGCCAAAUGUAAAGGUGACUAUAUGGGUGUUAUUUCAUGUCUAGAGGGCUGUAAUAAUGUUAAAAACUAUGUUUAGAAGAUUGUAAAGAGGGUUUUUAUGCCGUAACUACCAAAAUAUUCCAUGUAUUAAUAUUGAAUCCUACUUUGUGUCAAUUCACUUAUCACAGUCUGGUCUGGGACCAAUUUACAGCGAUAAACACGACACGAAUGUACUUAUACUGAAGGUAGGGAUGUCCCGAUCCACAUUUUUUGGCUUCCUACCAGAUUUUGUUUUUUUUUUAUAUAGUCUUGCCGAUCCGAUACCGAUAAUAAGCUUUUGUUACAAACAUGAAUUUGUGUAAAUUAAUAUGAUUAUGAAACAGCUCUUCAAAGCAUUAAAAAUAAUGCAACCAAAGUAUUGCUGAAUAUACUUUUUUUAUUACACAGCAUGACCAACAAUAUUGUUUGGCUUUUGUAACAAACCUCUGUGAGUCAGGUCCCUAAUCCAAUAAAACAUUAAAUAAAACUCCAUCCAAUUAAAGAUAAAAUUGGAAAAAAUGGGCGUGAUAAAUACUUUUAGGGUAGGACUAAUCAUUUGACAUGGAUAUAGAUCAAUGUGUUGUGUGAUUUAGAAUAUAUGACUUUUUUUUCAAAACAAAUUCUCUUCAAAGCAUUAUUGAUGGUCCCUAGUAUAAACAGCCAGCGGUUAGAGCAGCACUUCCCGUGCGAGCCCCCCGCACCAUGACACAAGAGUCCACAGUGAGGGGGAACUACCGCUGUAGCUACGGAGUCAAAUAUCCAACAUCCAACGUGAAACUAACUUCACCACAGUACAGCGCAGACAUGUCUGCAUGGUAUUGUUGCGUUAUGAUUUCGUCAUUUCAUUAAUGGAACUUCAUGAAGCUCUCCAGCAGAUGCCAAAUAAGUGUAGACCAGAGUUACCAACGUUACAUGGUCCGAUCUCUGAAAAUAAAGCAGCUCGGCAGCUGAUCCCGAUCCUGAAGAUCGGAUAGGGAUCGGCUGCCCUAAUUGAAGGUUUUGUGGCACCGCGUGGCCGCCACGGCGCCCUUAGAAAUUGCCUGUAUUGCUGAGUGGACGGGCCAGCCACCUUUUGCCUACACUCAGCUGCCCAUGACCCUGAAAAGGAUAAUUUAUAUAAAAUGAAUGAAAACUCCUGUUUAUGUUUGCAUUUUUGACCAGCCUGUUUAGACCUGUUAAAGGCCAAAAGAGUUUAUAUGGCGUCAUGUGUGUUUGUUGUAAAUAUCCAUGACAUUUGUGGGAGAUUUAAAAGCAGUUAUUGCACACAGCCAUUCAAGUGUACUUUGGUAAGAUACUGUAAGAAACCGACAUCAUCACAAGCUGUGCAGCAAUCUCCCAGCUUGAUCAAAAAUAAAUCAAAUGAGUGGACCUACAAUCUGACAUGCUUUGUUUUGUGUGUGCUUCUAUUGAGACAAUGAAAGUGAAAUUGCAGCCACCCUCGGGUACACGGUUGGCUCCCUUCAACCCCAUCGCACCCACUGCUGUCAUCAGUCAGGUCAUGCUGCUUUCCAAUCCUCACAAGGAAAAAGUUCGGAUGAGGUUCAAGUUGACCUUCACGCUGGGAGAGC